GACUAGAUAGCAAAAUGGUUAUGCAUAGGAUUGCAAAUUCUAAGAUAUUGGUUCAAAUCCAAUUCUAGUCU
rnacentral:tRNA from 2 species